UUGAAAGGGAAACGAUUGAAGUCAGUCAUGCUGGUGGGAAUCAACUUAGGGGAAACUNUGGGUGCACUUCUUCGCUUGGCAGGUUAACGUCGAUCUUGAAUGCCAUAAAAUAAUUGGGGGAAGGUAGCUCCUUCGGGAGUGUUAUAGCCCUUGAUAGAUGUGAUGUUUGGGGUCGAGGAUUGCAACGGAUACCCUUUGGGGCUAGCCGCCUGAUCUCUAAUCGGUGUUGGGUUACGGAUAGCAUGCUGACCGUGAUCUAAUUACUGGUUAAAAGGUUAGAGCGUGCAUAAAUUCGUUAAGGAUGUUGACGUA
rnacentral:rRNA from 1 species